AGAACGAACGCUGGCGGCAUGCCUAACACAUGCAAGUCGAACGAGACCUUCGGGUCUAGUGGCGCACGGGUGCGUAACGCGUGGGAAUCUGCCCUUGGGUUCGGGAUAACAGUUGGAAACGACUGCUAAUACCGGAUGAUGACUUCGGUCCAAAGAUUUAUUGCCCAGGGAUGAGCCCGCGUAGGAUUAGCUAGUUGGUGAGGUAAAGGCUCACCAAGGCGACGAUCCUUAGCUGGUCUGAGAGGAUGAUCAGCCACACUGGGACUGAGACACGGCCCAGACUCCUACGGGAGGCAGCAGGUACGGGGAAUAUUGGACAAUGGGACGAAAGCCUGAUCCAGCAAUGCCGCGUGAGUGAUGAAGGCCUUAAGGUGUAAAGCUUCUUUACCGGGUAGUAGACGUAAUAGUACGAGUACCGGUAGACGUAAA
rnacentral:rRNA from 1 species